rnacentral:misc_RNA from 1 species
UUUCCUUUUCUUUAAGAAAGAUGCUGCCGCCGCCAUAGUCCGAUAGAUUUCUUUUUGCUGGUCUGCGGUGGAAGUGCUGCAAAAUGGCUGACAUAUUAAAAAUAUACACAAGAUAUCGAAGUUGUUUAUGGAUUCUACUGUUGACCUUAAGUGUCAAAUACGCAAAUGGACUCACAUGUUACUGUCAAGGACAUUGUCCUUAUGACAAUUUCAAUGGCACAUGUGAAGCUAGACCUUUUAGCCAGUGUUUUGCUGCAGUAGAAGAGGUUUACAAUCCAGACACAGGUUUACCAGAACCUGAAUACACAUAUGGCUGUUUGCCACCUGAAGAAAAGGGUCUCAUGCAGUGCAAGGGGCACCUUGUUCCACAUCUAGUACCCAAAUCUAUACAAUGUUGCCACGAGUCAGAUCAUUGUAACCGAUUGCUGUCACCAAUGUACGAAAUUCGGAGUACUACUCCGGAUCCUAAUUCAGGCUUUGGAUCUGAUCAAAAUGUUCACUACUUGGCCUUGCUAGUUUCUGGAACAGCCAGCGUGAUCAUUCUCUUUGUUAUGGUUGUAUGUGUUUAUGUUCAUUACAAAAGGAAAGAGGAUAAGCGACAAGUUUCUAUCAUUAAAGCCCCUUGUGCACCCUACCUUGGAGGAAAUUCAACAAUCAAAGAUAUGGUGGAUCACAGCCAAAGUUCUGGAUCAGGUUCUGGGUUACCUUUACUGGUUCAAAGAACAAUUGCAAAGCAACUGGUUAUGGGCCAUUCUAUUGGUAAAGGACGCUACGGUGAAGUGUGGAUGGCCAAAUGGCGGGAAGAAAAAGUUGCUGUCAAAGUGUUCUUCACGACGGAAGAAGCUUCUUGGUUUAGGGAAACAGACAUUUAUCAGACUGUACUCAUGAGGCAUUCACACAUUCUCGGUUUUAUUGCUGCCGACAUUAAAGGAACGGGCUCGUGGACUCAAAUGCUUCUUAUUACCGACUAUCACGAGCUUGGAUCUUUGCAUGACUUUUUGCAGCAAUAUGCGCCUGACGGGGUAGCGGCUGGAAGAUUAGCUUUUACUGCCGCUAGUGGCCUGGCACAUCUGCACACGGAAAUUUUCGGCACUAGAGGGAAACCAGCCAUUGCCCAUCGAGAUAUCAAGAGUAAGAAUAUCUUGGUAAAAAGAGAUUGGACUUGCGCCAUAGCCGAUUUUGGCUUGGCUGUCAGAUACAUCAGUGAGUCCCAAGAAAUUGAUAUUGCACCCAACACACGCGUUGGAACUCGUCGCUAUAUGGCUCCUGAAGUAUUGGAUGAAAGCCUUAACAAGUUUGCCUUCGAAGCCUUUAAGGCUGCAGACAUAUAUUCCUUUGGUCUGGUCUUGUGGGAAAUCGCUCGACGAUGUAAUACGGCCUCCAGCACAAUCAGCGAAAUCAUUACAGACGAGAGCCAAGAGAAAUUGGUCACCUACGGUCCUGAUGACUACCAGCAACCGUAUUACGAUUGCGUUCCAUCUGAUCCGUCAUUCGACGACAUGUACAAUGUGGUGUGUGUAAAGAAAGUAAGACCGGAUAUUCAACCACACUGGCUCGCUGAAGAGCCCCUCAAAACACUAGCUCAAGUAAUGCAAGAAUGUUGGCACCAGAAUCCGGCCGCCCGUUUGACGGCUCUACGCGUUAAAAAAUCUCUGACCCGCAUUAACGACGAAUCUGACAUGUAUAUGUACACCGAAAAAUACAACGACAAAGAAUUGUUACCAUCCGUUUGAUGCUCGGAUGGUCAGCACAUGAGUUUGAAUCUAAUAUGACCAAGGGAUGGUGUUUUUAUCUUACUGGAAACGUUUCUCAAUAUCCAUUUUUUCUGAUAUUGCUCCAUUGCAACUGCCGUGCCAUUAAUACUUGUUGCCUCAAGCCUGAAACGGAUCCAAACAAAAAUUGUUGAUGUCUUAACCAAACAAGCGUCUUCUCCAGCUCAUUUUAUUACUCUCCAAUUGCUUCUCGAAAUCGUUUUAUUGGCCUUAAACGUGUAAAUACAAUGAACUGAAUCAACGUA